rnacentral:rRNA from 1 species
AACGCUAGCUACAGGCUUAACACAUGCAAGUCGAGGGGUAACGAGAGGAAAGCUUGCUUUCCUUGUCGACGACCGGCGCACGGGUGAGUAACGCGUAUCCAACCUGCCCCCAACUAGGGAAUAACCUUGCGAAAGUAAGACUAAUACCCUAUAAUUUCCUCAGAUGUCAUCUGACGAGGAAUAAAGAUUUAUCGGUUGUGGAUGGGGAUGCGUCUGAUUAGCUUGUUGGCGGGGUAACGGCCCACCAAGGCAACGAUCAGUAGGGGUUCUGAGAGGAAGGUCCCCCACAUUGGAACUGAGACACGGUCCAAACUCCUACGGGAGGCAGCAGUGAGGAAUAUUGGUCAAUGGGCGGAAGCCUGAACCAGCCAAGUAGCGUGCAGGAUGACGGCCCUAUGGGUUGUAAACUGCUUUUAUACAGGAAUAAAGUUAGCCACGUGUGGUUAUUUGUAGGUACUGUAUGAAUAAGGACCGGCUAAUUCCGUGCCAGCAGCCGCGGUAAUACGGAAGGUCCGGGCGUUAUCCGGAUUUAUUGGGUUUAAAGGGUGCGUAGGCGGAAUAAUAAGUCAGUUGUGAAAGUUUGCGGCUCAACCGUAAAAUUGCAGUUGAUACUGUUAUUCUUGAGUGUACAUAAGGUAGGCGGAAUUCGUGGUGUAGCGGUGAAAUGCUUAGAUAUCACGAAGAACUCCGAUU